rnacentral:lncRNA from 1 species
UAAACAAGUUCAAAUUGAUUAGCAUUGGUCAAAAGAAUUGCGCCGCUUGGACUAGGGUUAGGGUUUUAAAGAAAGCCGCCACUUUAUGCCCCUCGUAGUCUAUAAAACUUGUACAUCGCAAGCUUCAUCUCGGUAGGUAUUAAUCUUUCUGUAUUAUUUAUAUUUUCGUCUGCAUUUCUUCCAUUUUUCAUCUAAUUAAUUAUGUGUCUUCAUUGCUUAAUUUUCAGCUUCUGUUGCUAUAUUAUAGCUAAUAUUUUGUUGAUAUGUUUCCUGAAAGUUGAAAUUUGACGUGGGUAGCGAUGAUUAUAAAGUAAUUCCUCGUACUGAUUGCUGUAGCCACGGCAUGACAGACCAUUUUACACCCAUAGAAUAUGAGCUUCCACCAUCUAUUUGUAUUUGUUUUCAUUUAUUUAUUUUUGAGUUUAAUAUCCAAUUUUGGAAGUUGUGAGGGGUAGAUCUCGGCUAGAUUACUUUGAAAUUUUGUUUGGUGAUGUGCCGAGUGUAUUCUAUGUUGCUAUUACAGGUGCGUAUUGCGAAAUUUAUGAUUGAUCAAUACAAUAGAUUGGAUUGAUUUAUACUUAACGUUAAUGAGAGAUUUGUGGUUGUUAGUGCAUUUCACGCACAGGGUUUAAGAUGUUCAUGUAAGUUGAAUUUUGUGCCUGAAUCUGAUUAUAUAUGUAAUGUGGCUUUUGAAGAAAAUAGGUGAAGACUUUUAAAAAAGCAAUCUUUUGAAAUGCUAACUUCUAAAGAACUUGUUUUUGAUGCAAUCUGACUCUAUAAGCUAAGGUGAAAGUUAAAUGUGCUCAAAAAUGAAUUUUAACAGUAGCCAAAUGUGCACGCAAACUUAAAAUUUGCUUUCAAGCAACUUUGUGAAAUACCUUCUUCCUAUAAGCACUUUUAAGUGUUUUUCUACUUUAUCUUAAACUUACGCUGCGCUUUUUUGGUGCCAAUACGUCAUUUAACAGUACUAUGCAACUAGCUCUAGUAACAAUAAUUGACAAACAAAAAAGUAGACGUCUAUCUAUUUUGAAAUCCCAAAAAUUCCCUAUUUAGGAAAAUUGAAUGUAAAAAUUAAGGGGCACAAUGGUGAGAAAGCUGUUAACAAUGGUUGCUACAGUUAAAAUUACUGUUAAGUAACUUCGUGAAAUACAUUUUUAAUCAAAAAUUUGAAAGUUAAAUAGUCAUGUGGGUCUUACUAAAGCUGCCAUUGUUGACUCCUUAAUUUUUGCAUUCAAUCUUUUUAAGCAGGACAUUUUUGACAUUUCAAAAUGGAAAAAGAUGAUUUUUUGUAUGUUAAUUAUUGUGGUUAAAGCUGGUUCUGUAGUACUGUUUAUAACGUUCAGAUUUUCUAUUAGAGUUCUUUUACUCUUUUGGAUGCUGAGAACAAGUUUGGCUUAAGUUUUUUAAAAAAUCCUCUUUUGAUUGCAUCAAUGUAGAAGUUAAUUAUCUUCAAACUUUGAAGAAAGAUUCUGCCUUGAAACUUGGUUCAUGGCAAAAAUCUUGGAUCAACUUUCAAGACAGAUUUGAAGAUCGACUUGGAAGUGUGAAGUGGGGAGCUUGUUGGUCCUCCCUUUCAGAAUUCAAUGAAUUUCCUCCCUUAUUUUUAAAGAGCGGUUCAUCAUUGGCAUAUUUUUUGUUAUGUGAUUGUGUUGCUCGUUUGACUAAUUGAAUAAUAUCCAAUAUGUUCUUGUUUUUCUAAUCAGCAUUAAUGGUACUUCAAAUUUUCAUCUUUAAUAAUCUUUUUGUAUGAAUACAUUCUUUGCUUUUCUUAUAAACAUUUUCAUGGUUUCAUAAUGUUUUUAUUAUAUUGAGGAGCUGGCUUUAUUAUUAAUCACAGUAGAAGGAAAUCGUGUUUACUGUGUGCAUUCUGCCUCUCCUUAUAUUGAAGUUCGGUGGUGUUUAAAGCCCUUAUUUGACAGAGUGGUUCUAGAAAUUUGGGUUACGCACACCUCCAAAGCCAAGAUUCAUCCACCAUUGUAAUUUAUAUUUCUCAUUUAACAAUUGAGUAAUCAGUAAGAUUCAUUAUCUUAGUUUUAUUUAAUUUUUAACUUUUUUAUACUCCUGUCCUCUAAUGACAAGUGUCACGGCCUUGGUCUUAACAUGUAAAAGAUUAUCUGUGACCGAGUUUGGCAUGUCUCACAACGGGGUGAUCCAAGUCAUUUUAAGUCUUUUUUUUAAAAAAAAUAAAUAAAUUAUGUUCAACCAUACAUUCUAUGGGAUUCAUAAGUUUUUCUUAUUUUUUAACAUCAUCAUUGAAAAAAAUAUCAUUUUUCACUUUGAAAAAUCUGUCCCAAACAUAAGCUAAAUCUUAACUAGUUCCUUGCAUUUCUUUCUUCCCCUUUCUUUGACUUUGGCUAUUUGCACUUUCUAUAAUCUGCUUAAUUUAUUAUUAUUAUUAUUAUUAUUAUUUUGCCUAAAUUUAUUCCCUGUUUGCUUUUAGUACCAAGUUCCAUGUCUUCUUGAUUAAUCAUCCUUAUCUGUGACAACAUUAAUCAAAAUCCUUGCUUGUCCUGAUUAUUUGUUAUUUUGAAAUGUUAGUUUAAAAAGUAAGGUGGUUAGCAAUGAUUAUAAAGUAAUUCCUCGUUCUGAAUGCCGUUGCCAUGGCUUGACAGAUCAUUAUUACACCCAUAGAAUAUGAGCUUCCUCCCAUCUAAAUGGUUAUUUAUUUUUCUAUUUUCAAUAUCUUUUGUUGAAUGGUGGGAAGGGUAGGUCUCAGCUAGGUUUAAUUAAAUUCUAUUUGACAAUACACCUUGGAAAUUUAUAUUGGUAACUAGAAUAGUUUGUAUUGAUGAUUUUUUAUUUUGUAAAUGAAAGUAGCAGUGCUACCUGGAGCAAUAGUGAUGUCAUUUGUAAUUAGCAGGAAUGAUAAAUUUGGAUUGUUGGUGCAUUUCAGUCAGGUACUGGGUUCAUGAGUUCCCUCAAGUUUGUAUUUUGGGCAUGAACCUGAUCAUGGAUUGCAUCAAUAAAAUCCUAUUUGGCACUUGCAAGUGACAAUUAUAAUUUAUAAUGCUCUCUUAAAUUGGUCACAAUGUAAUUGUUUGCAUUGACAUGAUCAUCAUAAUGUAGUGCUGUAAUAACAGAUCUAAAGAAAAAAAUAGAAUUGAAUUUGGAAAGGCCAACUCUUCCGAGACAGAUGUGCCUGGAAAGAAUGCUUUGAUUAAAUAAUCAAGACAGCAAGUUUACAUUGAUUAUAUAUUCAAUGCUAGAUUUAUAGCAUGUUUAGUUGUGUUUAAAAGUGGCUUUUUAGCUAUUUUCUUGGUAGCAUGUAGAGUUAGUAAAAAGCGGCUUUUAAGCAUGACCAAACUUGUUUUUAAUCUUUUGCAUUGAUUAUUUUAUAAUCAAGAUGAACUCUUUCUCUUGAUUAUUAAAUCAAUGCAGAAAGUAGAUUUUUUUGGUCUGUUUUAGAAGAAAAAUAAAAUUUGCACAUUGUUGUAAGCUAGCCCACUUAUGGGGCGAGCCAGUGGGCUGGUAUAGUCAACAAAACAGGCCAACCUAUCAUUUUUAUCAUGCUGCUUUCAGCUUCUGCACGUUGGAAACCUCUAACUAUGAGCAUGUGGCUAUGCUUAAAAGUAGCAAGAAAUUAUUUGCACAGGGAUUUAAGUAUGAGCUUUAACAGAAUUGAUCUCUUGCUCUUAAUAGUUGGAAAAGAGAAAUAAGGGCGCUGCUACUGUGAUAGAGCCGGGGACAGGCUCCUGUGACAGUUCAGAUCAAGGGCUGAGGUGGCCUCCUGUUGUAGGGGCCUGUCCCCAGCCCUGUCACAGUAGGAAAACUUGAGAAAAAAUGCAUUAUAAUAGAAUGGAAUCCAAACAGGGGCUAAGGUUGUUACAAUGAAGUUAUGUUUUUUACAGUUUGGUCACUGCUUGAGCCUAUGUUUUGGAGAAGGUGUAAGCUCUCAAAAUUAGAUUAAUUCUUGAAUUAACUUAUGAAAGGUCAUGAUCUUUGUUCUGAAAAAUGCUCAACAAACUCAAAACAUUCAAUUUCUGGGAUUAAUGUUUUGCUUUGCGCUGCAGUUUUGAAUUUGAUAUGAUGAUGAAAUGCCACAAUUAGGUUUUGAUAGUGUGUACACUUGAGGUAAUGUUUUGAAAACCAGUCCAGGUGGAUUUUCUGGAAAAAUUGUAUAUUGAUGUUGAACCAUAUUAAAAACUGGAUGAUAAAAAUCAGGGAGUUCUGAUAAACCAGUUGCUCAAGACUAACUGGUUAUGGGUUGAUACUUGAUCGAGUUUCUGAGUUGAUUUUAACUUAGGCUAAAGAUAAAAUAAUGUUACCUAGGUUGUUGCUCUAAAUAUUGAGAAUACAUCUGUAAACAAUUGGAGGCCUAGCAGUAUCAUUUUCCAAUUGAAUUGAUUAGGUUUCAUUGAUUUAUACUAAGCAAUUUAUUCUUUCAAAUUUUUUUACGUGUAUGAUGGUCUCUCAAUUACCAUUUGAGAUGAUUUUUUAUGCUGUACAGUUUUUAGCUAUCAUAAUGGUAAUGUUUCAUGCUUUCCUAAUGUUUUAUGAAGUGGACGAGUUUGGCUUUAACGUAGAAUAUAUGAAAUUUGCUUAUAUAGAGUUUAACUUGCACUGUUGUCCCAAUAUAUAUUUGGAAUCCAAACAGGGAGCCUAAUUUUUGGCUUUAGAGGUAAGAGUUUUGCUACACGUACAUCGAGAUUGAUAUUUCGGUGUACACUCCCCUCACAUGGAGGAUUCCAAGAUAUUUUUUUUUGUCGUGAGGCCUAUCCCCUUAUGUGAGGGGAGUGUACACCGGAGUGUCAACCUCAGUGUACAGAUAGCAUUUUCCUAGCGGUAGAAUAAUUGACGUUUACUUAUAUGGAGUUUAACUUGCACUUGUUGUCCCAAUAUAUGUUUGGAAUCCUAACAGGGCACCUAAUUGCUGCCCCCCUAUUGGAGGGGCCCUGGACGUUCGGUAUCUCUCUAUAUAUAGAGUGACACCUUGACCUUGGCCUAAAAUGUCAAAAAAUACCUAUGCCCUGCCCUGCUAGGGUGGGCUAGAUGCCCCAAGACUCAAGCUGUGGAGCUUUCUCGUGUUGGGCAUUUUGUAGUCGAUGGUGGCAUAGGUGACCCUACUCAUUUUUCUACACCUAGAGAGAAGACUCUAAUUCAACAGUCGAUGGUGGCAUAGGUGACCCUACUCAUUUUUCUACACCUGGAGAGAAGACUCUAAUUCAACUUUGAAAUGGCGUAAAAUGUCAAUUCAGGCGAAGAAUGACGCUCGAAUGGGACUUUAAAAUUUCUCACCAAAUUAAAGUAAUGAACAAUUAUGCGCCAAACUUGGUGAAAUAUUUGUUCAUUUAGUAUGAUAUAUGCUAAUGAUCUAAGAAUUUGGAAAAUAUUUUUAAAUUUAACCGUCAAGCUUUCUGUCAAAAUUUUGGUUAAGGUUUUUCGCCCUUUUGGGAGUUUUUAGUUGUGUUCGCAGUGUGGACACUAGAGUUUCUUCAGACCUGUCGACCAGUUUUCGAAGAUAUUCAAUUUGGGCCUUGGAAAAUCAGAGUGCACUUUUAAGUGGGAUGAAUUUUUUUAUUUUUGGCCCCGGGUCAUCAUUAUCAGGGCCCAUGAGCCCUGGACCCUCCUAUAGGUGGGGGCUUGUUUGUACAUACCCUCCCACCUAUAGGGGGGGGGGGUGCUACUUGGCCAACGAACAAAAUAAUUGAUUAAUAAUUCUUGGAUUUUCAAGCUAUAGGUUGGCUAAAAGUCCUCCAUGAUUUGAGGCAUAUGCAAAGUAAAGCAUUGAAAAAUCUUUAAUUUGGCCAUCCUUUUGGAAGUGCCCUUUGAUUUUCUAGAUCCAAAUUGAAUAUCUACAAAACGGUAAAGAUUUUAAUCUAUGUUCUGAUAAUUGUGGCUUCUGGUGUUUUGCCUCUCAAAUAGCUCAUAUCGUUGCCACUUACUUUGACAAUGAAAAUAUAAAAAUUAUUCCCAAUUCUUGGUCCCUUUUUGGCUCUCUAUGCAAAUGUCUAUACAUGAAGUAGAGACCAGUAUCUAGAAUAAUGGUAUUGUUGAAAUGGAAAUUGCAUAUAGUGCAGGUUGCACCUUUUUUGUUCAAGGAAAUUAAUGGUUGCUUCCAAAGACCAUUGGACAUUGUUCAAAUAGCAAAGAUUAACAUAUACCAAUAUUUGAAAUACAACAUUGUGAUGUGAGGUGAGAGGCAAAAAAAGGAACCAGUCUUGAUUUAUUAGUGUGAGAGCUUUAGACAAAUUAAUACCAAAAUUAGAGUUUUAGAAUGUAUAUUUUUUUAUGUAGUCUACAAAUUUCAAAUAAAAAAUUAUAUUAAGUCCCCGUUUGUUUCCCAUUAGUUGCUCAUUAAAAUGAAAAAUAUGAUCGUUAUCCAUCAUAUCAAGUCACCAUAUUUGACUUUCUAUCUCUUGGGAUUUGUAAUGGUUAUAUUUUUUAUUCUUAUUUUUACAUUAAUGUGUACCAAACGGGGUUUAAAAAUCGGUUCCAUUCGAAUAUCAACAAUUCUAAUUUAGAAAUCAAGAAUCAAUCCGAACCCAAUUGUUUCUUGAUUCUUUAUUCUCAGUUUCGGUUCCUAAAUUUCUUUUUUGGAGCCGUACUAGAACCUCCAGUUCUGGUUCAAUUUCGGUUUGGUCGAUUAAAAUGUCCAAGCCUUUCGUUAGAAUAUAUUUUCAACAUAUAUGGGGAGCAUCUUGCAUUGUCGCCAUACACUGACAUCCCGAUCCAGAUAACAUCUCUUCCCUAUGCAUGGGAAGCCCUUUGUGAAUGGUUGUCAAGGCUGGACAACACGUUCCAUUGUCCUGCCCUUUCCCCCUUCUCUGAUCCUUCCUCUAAGAGAAUAUUUGAUCGACGGUCGCUCAAAGUUCUCAGCUGUUAAACGAAAGAGUUUUUAAGCACAAGUCAAUGCCUUAGGUGCCUAUCUGGAAUUUGUCUAGAUGCGGAUGAGGAAGAGCAGACUGGACAUGCCGAAGACUAAAACAAAACAUUUCUCAGCUUUCAAGCUGCGAAGAUAUAUCUGCAACUAUUCGGCGUCAACCCUUUGAGGUGGCUAAGAUUGUCAUUUCCCUUGUAAUUAUUUGAGCUACUGAAGAGCAUUAUUUCUGAUCUAUAUCUCAGCAUUCCCGCCAUUGCAUUGCAACAUGUUAGUCGUCUAGCAUGUUCAGGGAAAUGCGGCAAACGUAUAAGAUCGUAUACAAGUGAUAGUUAAAAGUGGUUAAAGUUUUGUUCCCACGAUGAAUAAACUUUAAUUUAAGUUGUAUUGCUUCGUGAUCAAAUGCGAAGGUGACAAAAUCAAUUGAUGAAGUGAAUGGUUUGUAUUAACUACGAAGAAUCAUGUUAAAUACUACAUAAGUGCACGUGAAAAUGAUUUUGAAAAAAGUAUAUAUGAAAAAU